AGACAAGGUUCAAGUCUGCACUACAAGGACUGUAAAGUGAAAAAAAAAGGAAGUAUUUUAAAAUGUCUAUCAAAUACCUAAAGUACAUUAAUGCCCACAAGUGUGUAUUAUUAGUGAGUUAGGCAGAGAAAAGCCUUUUCCAAGUUCAGGUGAGGUGUUAUGUAAGAAUAUAAAGUUUGAAAAUUCUAGGACAAAAAAUCAAAUUAUUGUACCUUGGUUACAUUUUUAAGUUCAAGAGAAACUCUCCUGUACCAAAUUUUUAAAUGUGCACAAUGUGGAAAAAACUAUAAGAAGCUUGCUAUAUCAACCCUCAUACCUUUGUCCUAAGGCUAACACAUACACCAAUCAGUUAUGAAGUAACAACUGUUUAAUUAUAUAUUCCAUGAUGAAAGAAAUUUUUACUGUCUUCUGAUAGUGUUUUGUGUCCAGAAAUGUACAUACUUUUUGGACUUAUUUUGGCCUUUCUGGAGGAGGAUGGCCACUUCAUUUUUUCCCUUUGGACAGGAAAAUAAUAUUGUUCAAAAUGCAGAUGUGCAGACAACCACUUUUACUUUAUCCUCUUCGUAUUCAAGUAAUUUAUGAAAUAUUGGGCAAAAGCUAAGGACAGUCAGUGAUUGUUGGAUACAUCUUACCAGUGAAAAAGUGGAUCGUGAAUAAAAUAAAGUUUUCUUAUUUUUUGUUAUUUAGGACAAACGAAACUUCAACUCUGCAAAAUUGUGAAAUAAUAUAUAUUUAGUAAUACAACUGAUGGUUAUUUGUAAAAAGAAAAAAAUUCUUUCAGUCACUCCUCAAAGUAUAAUGUACCUAUGAUAAAUAACGAUUGACACCAUUCCUUGCUGCCAAAAAUUCCAAAGUAUGUGGUGAAAUGGCAUUUUUAACCUUUCUGUUGAUGCAGUGACUUCUCUUGUGGUGAAGAUUCAGGGUAGUUCAUGAGAGGUUAACAGAAUAUCAUUUCUUUAAUUCCUCAGUACAUACAUUGUUUAAUCAGUUAGUCUUAUGAAAAAUGUUGUGUUGUAUAUUCAUUCUGAAUUGAGUAGAUACCCCAUAGCUUGGUUGGGGGGGCAGUGUGUUGGAAAGCAUUGCUUUAGAG
rnacentral:lncRNA from 1 species